UACGGAGGGGGCGAGCGUUAUUCGGAAUUACUGGGCGUAAAGCGUGCGCAGGCGGUUUUGUAAGUCAGAUGUGAAAUCCCCGGGCUUAACCUGGGAAUGGCAUUUGGGACUGCAAGGCUGGAGUUUGGCAGAGGAGACUGGAAUUCCCGGUGUAGCAGUGAAAUGCGUAGAUAUCGGGAGGAGUACCGAUGGCGAAGGCAGGUCUCUGGGCUAUAACUGACGCUCAUGCACGAAAGCGUGGGGAGCAAACAGG
rnacentral:rRNA from 1 species